rnacentral:rRNA from 1 species
AACGCGAAGAACCUUACCGGCCCUUGACAUGUCCAGGACCGGUGGAACAGAUGUGACCUUCUCUUCGGAGCCUAGAGCACAGGUGCUGCAUGGCUGUCGUCAGCUCGUGUCGUGAGAUGUUGGGUUAAGUCCCGCAACGAGCGCAACCCCCUUCCUUAGUUGCUACCAUUUAGUUGAGCACUCUAAGGAGACUGCCGGUGAUAAGCCGCGAGGAAGGUGGGGAUGACGUCAAGUCCUCAUGGCCCUUACGGGCUGGGCUGCACACGUGCUACAAUGGCGGUGACAAUGGGAUGCAAAGGCGCGAGCCCUAGCAAAUCUCAAAAAGCCGUCUCAGUUCGGAUUGGGCUCUGCAACUCGAGCCCAUGAAGUUGGAAUCGAUAGUAAUCGUGGAUCAGCAAGCCACGGUGAAUACGUUCCCGGGCCUUGUACACACCGCCCGUCACACCAUGGGAGUUGGUUUUACCUGAAGGUAGUGCGCUAACCGCAAGGGUGAAGCUAAACACGGUAGGCUGAGCGACUAG